GCCACGUGGACACUAAUGGGGACCAGCUGUUGCAGCCGAGCCUCUGUGCAACUGACGCAUCUCAGAGGCCACGGUCAUGUCCCGAGAGCAACACACAGAGAUGAAGGACCCUCAGGAACUCUCCAGAGCCUGUCCCCAGGCCUCUGCGGGCGAGGAGCUCUGCCCACCUGAAGAGGCCUUUUGGAAGGGGGAAGUGACCAGACUUUAAAGAGGCCAUCUUGCUGACUGAUCUAAAUCUGGCCUGAUUCCAGAAAGGUCGAAGAAACCGCUCUCCACUGGUGACACAUGUGAGCACAGAGUGGACCAUCACCCAGGAAAGUCCCUCGGGACCCCAGGCUUCCCAGAGUUCCACAUUUUCAUUAAAAGCUCCUUUACAAGUUAUGGACACUACUCUGACGUAUCGCCAGAGGAUUCAUAUUCCAGACGAGUCCUGUCAGCUGCGGUGUCAUCAGAAAAUCUCUGGCAGCCAGAGCGGAGGGCGCUGGUCUCUGCCCCACUCACCGUAUUGAUCCAAAGAUUUUCCUCAUUACGCGGAUCCAAACCGAGCACCCACGACACCACCGUGACGUCUCAUUGCGAUGGUCAUGGGGGCACGGGGCUCUCACGGGCUUGUCGUCUGUCCCCCACUUGGGGACCCCAGGCCACCCUUUUAAAGAGCACGCUUGACCCCUGGGUGGCGGCAGCGUGGCCGGGAGGCCCGGGGAAUGAGCACACCCGGGGGCUCCAGGUCAGCGCGAGGCUGACCCCCGGCCUCCAGAUGUGUCUGCACCCACGGCGUCGGUGCCCUGGGUUCCCUCGCAUCCUGGUCCCCCGGGGUGCCGUCAUCUUAAUGUCCCCACUGACACUUUGCCCCCAAAACGAGGCUCGCUUUUGUUGACAGAGGGAGUCCACAAGAAAUUAUUUAUUUUGACCCGCGUGGGAAAUAACUCCUCUCUCAACAAGACCGACCAAACUCCCCAGCCGCCCCUCCGUCAAAACCCAACGCAAACGCGCCAGCCUGCCUUUCCCAUCCGUGUCUGAAAUCCUGAUCUUGACCUUGGCCCCGCUGCUCUGCAGGUGUGGCCUCCUCCACUGGCUCACGCACUUGAAAUGCCAGCUCAGCCGGCUCCCAGGGCGCCGAGGAAAGGCGCCCGCCCAGCGCAGGGCGCGGCCGAGCCGAGAGGCUGUGGGUUCCAUCGGGUCCUUAGGUGACAGAUAGCGAGCGACAUGGUCAGACGUGUGGGUUUCAUUUCUUGCAUUACUAUCAAACUAAUUUACAAAUUACUGUCAAAUUACUAAAUUACUACCAUUUUUAUCAAAGUCAUAAGAGAAAGUGCACUAGGUCGUGCAGGCCCCCGGCCCACUGUCCGCAGCCUGAGGAGCAAUGCUCACCUAGCGUUUCUGGAUGGCGGCCGAGGGCUCGGGCUUCCCGAGGGGCUUCCUGUCGGGCUGGGGGGGCUCGGCUCCCUGACCCCUGCACAGCCCACCAUGCUUCUCGCUGUUGUCCAGCUGCCGCGCGGUGUGGUGGACGGUAUCCUGUGAGAGGAUGCUGGCUCCCUGCUGGGUGCGUGGCCCGCAGGAUGGCUGCGAAGUCUGGAACCAGAGGCUUGAACGUGGACUUAGAGCAACACCGACAAACCGCCGCGUUCGCCCCCCGCUCGUCUGUGUUUGCAGACUUGGCGCCUCCCCUGCCAGCCGUACGGGAACUACAUCCUCCCUUGUGCAGCUUUUAGGACUCUCCAGUUGUCUUGAUUUUUCUGAGCACCUGUUGCUAAGUCUUCCCGAUCUCCCCUCGGGAGGGACUCCGCACUGUCACGGGCCCACCACCUGCCCCGGGUCUCCCGGGCCUCCUGCCCUGGGCUGGGGGGCUGCUCUCCUGGCCUCACAGACCUGCCAGCCCGGGGGUCCCUCCCCACCUGGGGGUGCAGUCUCGGUGGUCUCCUGAGCGGCUUUCGAGGACACGCAGGCUGAUGGUUUGGAACGGAGCGGAGGGAACCGGUCUCCUCGGGGGUCAGACCCAGAGGGACCUCGUGGGGGCCGGAAGCAGGGACAGAGGGAGGUGGGGGUGGGCGGGGAGAGCUGCUCUGGCCUCCGCAGCCCCCUGCCCCCAGCCCCCUGAUGCCAAGAAAGCCCAGAGGCAAGGUUUCUGCCGCUGAAGCCGUGCCCAAGGCUGCCCACUGACCGUGCGAUGGGAGUUACACAGCAGGGAAGAGGCCGCUUCGCCCCGGGAUCCUCAGACUCUGGGGGCAGAGGGGCAGGUGCUGCAGGGCUUCCUCAGGGACCCUGUCACUCAGGGAUGGGUGCCCGGGACCCGCUUUGGUAACCACAGAGCUGCAGGCAGGCAGGGGCCGUGUCUGCGAUUCACCUGUCUGCUCUCCAGGCCCCCACCUCGUCCUCCACCCUCACUGCCGAGAUCCCCUGACACAGUGUGACCAGCCCUCCCACACCCUCUGCGGUGGCCCGGGUCCUGGAGGACCAGCUGGGCCCCUGGGACCACGGAGGAGGCCUGGAGGGUCCCGCAGACCCGCGCCCACUGGGGCCCCCGGCUCCCUCUCGCCCCCUCGCCUCUGCCCCUGCCCUGUCUCCGGGGGUCCCUCCAGGGCCCAUCGGGAUCCAUUCCCGGAGGCUGGGCUCACGGCUCAGGUCGUCAGGGCCACUUGGAGGUGGACGUGCAGCCUCCCUUCUUCUCUCCGCACCUCCUUCCCUGCAGAUGAACAGUGAAAACUUGGGACAGACUUAAGCUGCAGUAGCAUUUGUUGUUCUUCUGAAUUUUCUCUGGCAGUGCUCACAGCAGGGUAGUGAAUCCCUGGCCAGGUUGCCAGGGGUCCCUGUGGCGUCUGGGGGGCACCACUCGAAAGUCCUGCUGUGUUGCAGUUCCUCCUGCCCCGGAGCUUGGCCUGGGGGACCAGGUGAAAGCUCACCACUCCCGUGCGAAGGUCACAAGCACUUUCGGGGGCCUUCCUGGCGGCUCAGCUCCACAGCAGUCGCUGUGGGCUCUUGAGUCGAGGAAUCAACUUACCACGUUUGCAUCACCUGGGGCAGCUCAGCAGUGCAGACGCCCAGGGGCCUGAUGGAAUUACAUUUUGUUCAACGAAAACGUAGGCGUUUUCAGGGCCUGGAGAGGUGAGGUCGCUGACCGAAUGGGUGGAAUCAGGACAGUGUAGAAUCUACUGAUAGAAAGAUGCUGACAGGGCCUGUAGGUGCAUCGGCAUGAAACAGGAAGGCACGGCGGGCUUCAGGGUGGCAGCUACUCGGGCCGGGCCCCAGGGAUCACAGUCCUGCAGCCGUGGCCAGAUCCCCUGCUGCGCUUUCUGGAAGGUCCUCUGCAGCUGUUACAGGGGGAAUAAGCAAACAUUGAUUCACAAAGAGGCCUUUAGAAAACUCCCGACUUGUGCUAGGCUACAAUAUCUAGCAGUUACUAAAUUUGGGGGAUCUCAGAACACCUUUAAAAAUUAUCAAAGCCCCCAAGACCUUUUGUUUAUGUGGGUUGUACCUAUCGAUAUGC